rnacentral:rRNA from 1 species
UGCCAGCAGCCGCGGUAAUACGGAGGGUGCGAGCGUUGUUCGGAAUUACUGGGCGUAAAGAGCGCGUAGGCGGGUUGGAUAGUCAGCUGUGAAAGCCCAGGGCUUAACCUUGGAAUUGCAGUUGAAACUACCAAUCUUGAAUACCUGAGAGGAUAUCGGAAUUCCCGGUGUAGGAGUGAAAUCCGUAGAUAUCGGGAGGAACACCCGAGGCGAAGGCGGAUGUCUGGCAGAGUAUUGACGCUGAGGCGCGAAAGCGUGGGUAGCAAACAGGAUUAGAUA